rnacentral:tRNA from 1 species
GGUUGUGGCUCAGCGGUAGAGUGCUCACCUAGCAUGUGCGAGAUCCUGGGCUCGAUCCUCAGCACCA